AUUGAACGCUGGCGGCAUGCCUUACACAUGCAGGUCGAACGGCAGCACGGGAGCAAUCCUGGUGGCGAGUGGCGAACGGGUGAGUAAAGCAUCGGAACGAGCCCAGUCGUGGGGGAUAACGUAGCGAAAGCUACGCUAAUACCGCAUACGAUCUGUGGAUGAAAGCGGGGGACCGUAAGGCCUCGCGCGAUUGGAGCGGCCGAUGUCAGAUUAGGUAGUUGGUGAGGUAAAGGCUCACCAAGCCGACGAUCUGUAGCUGGUCUGAGAGGACGACCAGCCACACUGGGACUGAGACACGGCCCAGACGCCUACGGGAGGCAGCAGUGGGGAAUUUUGGACAAUGGGCGCAAGCCUGAUCCAGCAAUGCCGCGUGCAGGAUGAAGGCCUUCGGGUUGUAAACUGCUUUUGUACGGAGCGAAACGGCUUCCACUAAUACUGGGGGCUAAUGACGGUACCGUAAGAAUAAGCACCGGCUAACUACGUGCCAGCAGCCGCAGUAAUAC
rnacentral:rRNA from 1 species